rnacentral:rRNA from 1 species
GGUCAGUAGGUUGGUCGUGCCACCGGUACGUACUGGUCUCACUGAUUCCUCCUUCCUGAAGAACCGUAAUGCCAUUAAUUUGGUGUUGCGGGGAAACAGGACUGUUACUUUGAAAAAAUUAGAGUGUUUAAAGCAAGCUAACGCUUGAAUACAUUAGCGUGGAAUAAUGAAAUAGGACGAUCGAUCCUAUUUUGUUGGUCUCUAGGAUUGACGUA